rnacentral:rRNA from 1 species
GACGAACGCUGGCGGCGUGCUUAACACAUGCAAGUCGAACGGAAAGGCCCUGCUUGCAGGGUGCUCGAGUGGCGAACGGGUGAGUAACACGUGGGUGAUCUGCCCCUUACUUUGGGAUAAGCCUGGGAAACUGGGUCUAAUACUGGAUAGGACCAUGCUGUAGGUGGUGUGGUGGAAAGAUUAGUUUCGGUAAGGGAUGAGCUCGCGGCCUAUCAGCUUGUUGGUGGGGUAAUGGCCUACCAAGGCGUCGACGGGUAGCCGGCCUGAGAGGGUGGACGGCAACAUUGGGACUGAGAUACGGCCCAGACUCCUACGGGAGGCAGCAGUGGGGAAUAGUGCACAAUGGGCGCAAGCCUGAUGCAGCGACGCCGCGUGGGGGAUGACGGCCUUCGGGUUGUAAACUCCUUUCAGCCAUGACGAAGCCCUUGUGGUGACGGUAGUGGUAGAAGAAGCACCGGCUAACUACGUG